UACGUAGGGGGCAAGCGUUGUCCGGAAUUAUUGGGCGUAAAGAGCGCGCAGGCGGUCGGAUAAGUCGAAUGUGAAAGCCCCCGGCUCAACUGGGGAGGGUCAUUCGAUACUGUUCGACUCGAAGGCAGGAGAGGGAAGUGGAAUUCCCGGUGUAGUGGUGAAAUGCGUAGAUAUCGGGAGGAACACCAGUGGCGAAGGCGACUUCCUGGCCUGUUCUUGACGCUGAGGCGCGAAAGCUAGGGGAGCAAACGGG
rnacentral:rRNA from 1 species